rnacentral:rRNA from 1 species
UACGUAGGGUGCGAGCGUUAAUCGGAAUUACUGGGCGUAAAGCGUGCGCAGGCGGUUUUGUAAGCCGGAUGUGAAAUCCCCGGGCUUAACCUGGGAAUGGCAUUCGGGACUGCAAGGCUGGAGUGCGGCAGAGGAGACUGGAAUUCCUGGUGUAGCAGUGAAAUGCGUAGAUAUCAGGAGGAACACCGAUGGCGAAGGCAGGUCUCUGGGCUGACGCUGACGCUCAUGCACGAAAGCGUGGGGAGCAAACAGG